UGUCAAGCUACUAAGAGCCAUUGGUGGAUGAUUUGGUGCUUAGAGGCGAUGAAGGACGUGGCAAGCUGCGAUAAGCCUCGGGGAGUUGCNNNNNNNNNNNNNNNAAUUGAAACAUCUUAGUACCCCUAGGAAAAGAAAGUAAAAACGAUUCCGUCAGUAGCGGCGAGCGAAAGCGGAAAAGCCUAAACCUGUAUGAUGUCAAGCAUUGGGGCGUUGUCAUACAGGUGUUGCGGGGCGCGACGGCCGGAGACCCGAUUCUUCGGCGGGAAGAAAUCUCGCUUGAUUUUAGCAGAACGGCAUGGAAUGGCCGGCCAAAGAAGGUGACAGCCCUGUAUGUAAAAAGAUCAAGCGCUUCCUGGUUGCCAACCCCAAGUAACACGUGAUAAGUGAAAACAUGUGUGAAUCUGGGAGAACCACUUCCUAAGGCUAAAUACUCCUAAGCGACCGAUAGUGAACAAGUACCGUGAGGGAAAAUUGAAAAGAACCCCUGUUAGGGGAGUGAAAUAGAACCUGAAACCAAUCGGCUUACAGGCGGUGGAAGGGCUAUGCUGCUUCUUCGGAAGCGGAAUGCCUGACUGCGUGCCUUUUGCAUAAUGAUCCGGCGAGUUAUUGGAUGCGGCGAGGUUAAGCGUUUAAGGACGUGUAGCCGAAGCGAAAGCGAGUCUGAAUAGGGCGUUUAGUCUCAUCCAAUAGACCCGAAGCUGAGUGAGCUAACCAUGGUCAGGAUGAAGCGAGGGUAAAACCUCGUGGAGGUCCGGACGGAUGUGAGUUGAAAAUCGCUCCGAUGAACUGUGGUUAGGGGUGAAAGGCCAAUCAAACUCAGUAAUAGCUGGUUCUCCUCGAAACAUCUUUAGGGAUGGUCUGGUGAGGUAGCGGCAAGAGGUAGAGAACUCAAUGGGCUAGGGGACUUACCGGUCUGCCGAACCCAAGGAAACUCCGAAUGCUUGCUGUGGAAUCACUGGAAUCAGUCCGUGGGGGAUAAGCUUCACGGUCGAGAGGGAAACAACCCAGAUCGCCAGCUAAGGUCCCAAAAUUAUGGCUAAGUGGUAAAGGAUGUGAGAAUACAUAGACAACCAGGAUGUUGGCUUAGAGGCAGCCACCAUUUAAAGAGUGCGUAACAGCUCACUGGUCAAGUGUUCUUGCGCCAAAAAUGAUCGGGGCUCAAGCCAUAUACCGAAGCUGCGGGCGUUAGUUCUCUUCGGAGCAACUGACGCGGUAGAGGAGCAUUCCCAGGGCACUGAAGCGGAACCGUAAGGAUCCGUGGAGCGCUGGGAAGAGAUUAUGCCGGAAUGAGUAGCGAUAAAACGGGUGAAAAACCCGUUCGCCGUAAACCCAAGGUUUCCCGGGGAAGGUUAAUCCGCCCGGGGUUAGUCGGUCCUAAGCCAAGGCCGGACAGGCGUAGGUGAUGGACAGCAGGUUUAAUAUUCCUGCACCAUGAGUUUCGCGUUAUCAACUUGAAAAGUGCCAAGAAGGCUAGGUAAUCGCGCGAUCGGAUGUGCGCGUCCAAGCGCGUAGCUUUGCAGGGGCAACUCUGCAAGGUAAGGCGUGUUAGGGAGCUCAACCCUCGGGAAGAGCGAACUUGCCGAUGCCACGCUUGCGAGAAAAGCUUUUUAAGUGAGUGGAAUUCAUGACCGUACCGUAAUCGGACACACGUGGGUGGGUAGAAAAUACUAAGGCGCUCGAGUGACCCCUCGCAAAGGAACUAGGCAAAAUGGCCCCGUAACUUCGGAAGAAGGGGUGCCUGAGUAGGGUGAACGUCAAGGGAGCCCGAAAAGGUCUCAGUGAAAUGGGCCAACCGACUGUUUAACAAAAACACAGCUCUCUGCAAAGUCAAUAAGACGACGUAUAGGGAGUGACACGUGCCCGGUGCCGGAAGGUCAAGCGGAGGCGUUAUCCUUCGGGAAAAGCGCCGAAGUUAAGCCCCGGUAAACGGCGGCCGUAACUAUAACGGUCCUAAGGUAGCGAAAUUCCUUGUCGGGUAAGUUCCGACCUGCACGAAUCGUGUAACGAGUUGGCCGCUGUCUCUGCGAGGAGCUCGGUGAAAUUGUAGCAGCGGUGAAGAUGCCGCAAACCCGUAGUUAGACGGAAAGACCCCGUGCACCUUUACUGUAAGUUGGUAUUGAACUUUGGUUUUGUGUGUGUAGCAUAGCCGGGAGACUUUGAUGGCAGGGUGCUAGCCUUGCCGGAGUCGUCAGUGAAAUACCGGUCUCAUGUGACUAGAGUUCUAACAGCGAUCCCUGAAUCGGGACGCUGAACAGUGCCAGCCGGGCAGUUUGACUGGGGCGGUCGCCUCCCAAACAGUAACGGAGGCGUUCAAAGGUCUGCUUAGUGCGGUCGGCAAUCGCACGGUAAGGGCAAACCCAAAAAGCAGGCUUGACUGCGAGACCUACAAGUCGAGCAGGGACGAAAGUCGGAGUUAGUGAUCCGGUGGUUCAAAGUCGGAAUGGCCAUCGCUCAACGGAUAAAAGGGACGCCGGGGAUAACAGGCUUAUCUCCCCCAAGAGUUCACAUCGACGGGGAGGUUUGGCACCUCGAUGUCGGCUCAUCGCAUCCUGGGGCUGGAGAAGGUCCCAAGGGUCCGGCUGUUCGCCGGUUAAAGCGGUACGUGAGCUGGGUUCAGAACGUCGUGAGACAGUUCGGUCCCUAUCUGCUAUGGGCGCAGGAAACUUGAGGAGAGCUCUUUCUAGUACGAGAGGGCCGAAAGAGACGAACCGCUCGUCUACCUGCUGUUCCGCCAGGAGCAGUGCAGGGUAGCUAUGUUCGGAAUGGAUAAGCGCUGAAAGCAUCUAAGCGCCAAGCCGACUCCAAGAUAAGGUUUCCCAACCGGUUUUCGGUUUAGAAGACCCCUCGAAGACGACGAGGUUGAUAGGCGGGAGGUGUAAGAGCCGUAAGGUUCUCAGCUGACCCGUACUAAUCGGUCGUUCGGCUUGACAUU
rfam:Omnitrophica bacterium GWA2_52_8 gwa2_scaffold_10335, whole genome shotgun sequence.